rnacentral:rRNA from 1 species
UACAGAGGGUGCAAGCGUUAAUCGGAAUUACUGGGCGUAAAGCGCGCGUAGGCGGCUUGACAAGUUCGAGUGUGAAAUCCCCGGGCUUAACCUGGGAGCUGCAUUCGAAACUGUCUUGCUAGGAGUAUGGGAGAGGGAGGUGGAAUUUCAGGUGAGCGGUGAAAUGCGUAGAUAUCUGAAGGAACAUCAGUGGCGGAAAGCGACCUCCUGGACCAAUACUGACGCUCAGGUGCGAAAAGCGUGGGGAGCAACAGGAU